rnacentral:rRNA from 1 species
CCUACGGGAGGCAGCAGUGGGGAAUAUUGCACAAUGGGCGCAAGCCUGAUGCAGCCAUGCCGCGUGUGUGAAGAAGGCCUUCGGGUUGUAAAGCACUUUCAGCGAGGAGGAAAGCUUAAGCGUUAAUAGCGUUUAGGUGUGACGUUACUCGCAGAAGAAGGACCGGCUAACUUCGUGCCAGCAGCCGCGGUAAUACGAGGGGUCCAAGCGUUAAUCGGAAUUACUGGGCGUAAAGCGUACGCAGGCGGUUUGUUAAGCGAGAUGUGAAAGCCCCGGGCUCAACCUGGGAACUGCAUUUCGAACUGGCAGACUAGAGUCUUGUAGAGGGGGGUAGAAUUUCAGGUGUAGCGGUGAAAUGCGUGGAGAUCUGAAGGAAUACCGGUGGCGAAGGCGGCCCCCUGGACAAAGACUGACGCUCAUGUACGAAAGCGUGGGGAGCAAACAGGAUUAGAUACCCUGGUAGUCCACGCCGUAAACGAUGUCUACUCGGAAUUUGGUGUCUUGAACACUGGGUUCUCAAGCUAACGCAUUAAGUAGACCGCCUGGGGAGUACGGCCGCAAGGUUAAAACUCAAAGGAAUUGACGGA